rnacentral:rRNA from 1 species
AUGGUAGAAGAUCAGCGCCCCAACGCCCAAGGAUAUGCUAGAGACCUGCAUGUGAAUGCCCAAGAAGCACAGGAGGCUAGAACUAGUGCGUGUGCUUUUCCUGCACCUUCCGCUGCUAGUUGGCUCCCUCCACAAGAGAGUGAUGCAAAAUUGAAUGUGGAUGGCGGCAUAUCCAGGAAAGGCGAUCGAGGGGCUGAAGCUGUUAUAUGCCGAGACAAGACUGGCCAGUACUUGGGGGCUUCGGCGAUGGUUUUCGACGGUCUCGUCGACCCGGCGACUCUUGAAGCCCGAGCGUGCAGUGAAGCACUGGCGCUAGCAUCAGACCUAAACCUCUAG